UACGGGGGGUGCGAGCGUUGUCCGGAAUUACUGGGCGUAAAGGGCGCGUAGGCGGCCCGCUAAGUCGAACGUGAAAUCCCUGGGCUUAACCCAGGAACUGCGUCCGAUACUGGCAGGCUUGAAUCCGGGAGAGGGAUGCGGAAUUCCAGGUGUAGCGGUGAAAUGCGUAGAUAUCUGGAGGAACACCGGUGGCGAAGGCGGCAUCCUGGACCGGUAUUGACGCUGAGGCGCGAAAGCCAGGGGAGCAAACGGG
rnacentral:rRNA from 1 species